GGGAUAUUGGCUCAGUUGGUAGAGCGUUGGUCUCAUAUCAAAUAUGAUCUGGUUAGACAUCAGAGUAAUCCAAAGGUCGUGAGUUCGAGCCUCACAUGUCCCA
rnacentral:tRNA from 1 species